rnacentral:lncRNA from 1 species
UAAACAUAACACAGCUUUGACAGCAUUGUGUCCAUAUUCACACUCCCUCUGCCACAGUGCUCUCUGCAGCUGAUUCAGGAGAAUCUUCCUGAGACUUUGGACUACUCCAUCUUAGCCUUGUGCCAGGUUAACACCACUGCUGCUUUCUGCAAAAGGAGCCAAGCAAUAAAAGGGCAGCUUUGUCAGAUCUCAAAGUUGGAGAAUCGCCCUGAGAGGGAGUUGCCCUGGAUCCUUUGGCUUCAUGUAUAUGUGACAAACUACCCAGCUGAUGUUUUCACCUGAG